rnacentral:tRNA from 1 species
GCGGGUAUGGCGGAACUGGCAGACGCGCCAGAUUUAGGAUCUGGUGGGCAACCGUGCAGGUUCGAUUCCUGUUACCCGUACCA